rnacentral:rRNA from 1 species
GUUGAGCCGCGGGAGAUACUGUUAGGCUAGGAGGCGGGAGAGGCCGACGGUAUUCCCGGGGUAGGGGUGAAAUCCUAUAAUCCCGGGAGGACCACCAGUGGCGAAGGCUGUCGGCUAGAACGCGCUCGACGGUGAGGGACGAAAGCUGGGGGAGCGAACCGGAUUAGAUACCCGGGUAGUCCCAGCUGUAAACGAUGCGGGCUAGGUGUUGGUGUGGCUACGAGCCACUUCAGUGCCGCAGGGAAGCCAUUAAGCCCGCCGCCUGGGGAGUACGGCCGCAAGGCUGAAACUUAAAGGAAUUGGCGGGGGAGCACCACAAGGCGUGAAGCUUGCGGUUCAAUUGGAGUCAACGCCGGGAAUCUUACCGGGGGCGACAGCAGGAUGAAAGCCAGAUUGAAGGUCUUGCUGGACAAGCUGAGAGGAGGUGCAUGGCCGUCGCCAGUUCGUGCCGUGAGGUGUCCUGUUAAGUCAGGCAACGAUCGAGACCCACGACCUUAGUUGCUANCGAUCGAAAGGCGGGCACUCUAAGGGGACUGCACGCCGACAAGGCGGAGGAAGGAGUGGGUCCACGGCAGGUCAGUAUGCCCCGAAUCCCCCGGUCCACACGCGAGCUGCAAUGUCAGGGACAAUGGGUUCCCACCUCGAAAGAGGGAGGCAAUCCCCAAACCCUGCCUCAGUUGGGAUCGAGGGCUCAACUCGCCCUCG